rnacentral:rRNA from 1 species
GACGAACGCUGGCGGCGCGCUUAACACAUGCAAGUCGAGCGAAGCGGCGGACGGGUGAGUAACACGUGAGUAACCUGCCUUAGACAUUGGGAUAGCCUCGGGAAACCGGGAUUAAUACCAAAUGGUCUAAGAUGGACCCGCGUCCCAUUAGCUAGUUGGUGAGGUAACGGCCCACCAAGGCGACGAUGGGUAGCCGGCCUGAGAGGGUGAACGGCGACAGUGGGACUGAGAAACGGUCCAAACUCUAAGGGAUGCAGCAGUGGGGAAUAUUGCACAAUGGAGGGAACUAUGAUGCAGCGAGGACGGGUGACAGAAGAAGGCUUUCGAGUCGUAAAGUUUUUUUAUAUGGGAAGCGAUACCAAAAGAAAAAGCCCCGGCUAACUACGUGACAGCAGCCGCGGUAAUAC